rnacentral:rRNA from 1 species
UAGGGAAUCUUCCACAAUGGACGCAAGUCUGAUGGAGCGACGCCGCGUGAGUGAAGAAGGUCUUCGGAUCGUAAAACUCUGUUGUUAGAGAAGAACACGAGUGAGAGUAACUGUUCAUUCGAUGACGGUAUCUAACCAGCAAGUCACGGCUAACUACGUACCAG